GGAGCUGCAAACUACAAAAUCUACAAGAAUCAGAAGUCCCUCUGUCUGCAAGAAUCAAAACCUAUUACCUAUAUCAAAACCCAUAUCGGCAUAUCAUUUCAGAUUGUUCAAAAAAUCAAAACUCAUAUCUUUCAGUUCCAAUUGCUCGUUGUUUCAGUUCGGGUUCGCCGUUCGCAAGCUUCAGCCGCUGGCCCGCUGUCUCUCAACUCUCUCCCUGCAACUGCUAACUUGGUUAACAUCGGGCCUUAACAUUUAGCAAGAACAAGGUUCAAGAAACAUGCCUCCUCAGUCAUUGGGUUUCUUUUUUGAAAGAAGAGAGUUGAUGGGAAUGGGUGGAGUGGGCAAAAAGAAAAUAGAACAAUUAGAGACUGCAUGUUAACACCGAGGUCACCAAUACUGUGCAAAAUCCGGGAGUCAUCUAUCCUUUUCAAAAUCAGAGAGUCGUCAUUCCUUUUCAAAAUUAGAGAGUCAUCAAUCCUUUGCAAAAAGCAAUGAUCAUCAACCUUCGAUCAAAGUUGAGAAUCAUUCAUCCGAUUACAGGUCUUACCACUCCAAACUGGCUAAAAGGAAACUUAGGAACACGUCUUUUUUAGAAUAUGUCAUCGUAAGAUGGGGGACCUUACAAGCACAUUUAUAGUAUGGACCCCGAGAACGUCAGAAAAAUGUUUUUGGAAUCUGGUAUGAAGGAAGAUUUGUACGAAAUAAGGAGAUAUAUUUCUUCAAUAGUUGCCGAUUUGCGUCGUUUAGACGUCAUUUCAAAUCCCUUGACUUUGAAUGAUGGUUUCAAUCUUCCAUAAAGGAAAGUAGGUGUUACAUUCUGGAUUAUAUGAAGGGACACUAUUUAAUAUGGUGGCACAAUCUGAUUAUUUCAUUGACAGUUGGGUAUGAGGCUCCUUCGGCAGGUAUAAAUAGGUUUAACACCGAUGGCACAUUUAUUGAUUCUGGAUCAUCAAUGGCUCUUUUAAGAACUUCUGACCAAUCUAAUGGUUGACAAUCCCAGGCCUCAACGACAAUAUAAUCUGUAAGUCUGAGCUUCAAGAACUUCUGGAGUUGAGGGUGUUCCUGGAGAGACGGGGCGGGGCAGGGUAUAUAGAGACAGUGAAAACAAUCUGGGACCAGUGUUUUAUGGUAAGGUCAAUGAGAUAUUCUUAUCCUACGAGGCGGAGAUGUGCGGCAUCUAUUAUAGUUUCUGCCGUUCUUACAAGGAUAGUGGUUUACACAAUGCACCAUGUGUAUGGGAGAAUGACUCUUUAAAUCUCGUUAAUGCCAUUAAUUCAGGCAUACACAUACCAGAUGAUGACUUUAAAGUUAAACAAAGGUACUAUUGUUUUUCUUGGCUUUUCAAA